UGCUGUCUGUGAAAGUCCAUGCAGAGCAACUCAACAAGAUUCUGGCCUUAAUGAGUUUGAAACUUUCUCCUGAGGAACUCCAACUUUUAAUUCAUGAUGUAUAUGAAACAGAACCAGUGAAGCUGAAAAUAAACAUAAAAGAGUCUCCAAAGCUGACCCAGGACAGUGAAAACGCGACAUUUUCCAUCUCUGCAACAGUGGAUGGGUU